UACAGAGGGUGCGAGCGUUAAUCGGAAUUACUGGGCGUAAAGCGCACGUAGGCGGCUUGGUAUGUCGGGUGUGAAAUCCCCGGGCUCAACCUGGGAACUGCAUCCGAAACUGCCUUGCUCGAGUAUGGGAGAGGGAAGUGGAAUUUCCGGUGUAGCGGUGAAAUGCGUAGAUAUCGGAAGGAACACCGGUGGCGAAGGCGGCCCUCUGGACGGUGACUGACGCUGAGACGCGAAAGCGUGGGGAGCAAACAGG
rnacentral:rRNA from 1 species